GACGUAGGUGGCGAACGUUAUCCGGAAUUAUUUGGCGUAAAGGAUGCGUAGCUGGUGUAGUAAGUUAUCGGUGGCAAAUCGAGGCUCAACCUCGUGGAAGUCGGUAAUACUGCUAUGCUAGAGGAUAGGAGAGGUUAACGGAACUCCCUGUGGAGCGGUGAAAUGCGUAGAUAUAGGGAAGAACACCAAUCAGGCGAAGGCAGUUAACUAUUCUAUUCCUGACAUUGAGGCAUGAAAGCGUGGGGAGCAAAACGG
rnacentral:rRNA from 1 species